rnacentral:rRNA from 1 species
GUGGGGAAUUUUGGACAAUGGGCGCAAGCCUGAUCCAGCAAUGCCGCGUGCAGGAUGAAGGCCUUCGGGUUGUAAACUGCUUUUGUACGGAACGAAAAGCCCUGGGUUAAUACCCUGGGGUCAUGACGGUACCGUAAGAAUAAGCACCGGCUAACUACGUGCCAGCAGCCGCGGUAAUACGUAGGGUGCAAGCGUUAAUCGGAAUUACUGGGCGUAAAGCGUGCGCAGGCGGUUUUGUAAGACAGAGGUGAAAUCCCCGGGCUCAACCUGGGAACUGCCUUUGUGACUGCAAGGCUAGAGUACGGCAGAGGGGGAUGGAAUUCCGCGUGUAGCAGUGAAAUGCGUAGAUAUGCGGAGGAACACCGAUGGCGAAGGCAAUCCCCUGGGCCUGUACUGACGCUCAUGCACGAAAGCGUGGGGAGCAAACAGGAUUAGAAACCCCUGUAGUCC